CCUGAGGCUGUUUGCUGUGAUCGCCAGCCUGGCGCAGAAAGUCGCCUGCAUGGAUGAGUUUAUGCGCUCGCUCAUCAGCAGCAUGGACUUUCGCUCUCUGGAAGUGAAGCUUUUCAAAGCGAAGCAACUCUUCCUGUUCCUCCUGGAGGAGCAGCGAGGAGACGCAGGAGCUCAGAAAGGCUUCAUCAGUGCAGAGCAGCUGCUGCUGGAGCUGAAGGCUGGCGGAAUCCACCUGGAGCAGGAGGCGGCCGUCCGGCUGGAGCUGCAGCGUAUACCUCCUCUGGACCUGCUGGACUUCCUGGCCUACCUGCCGCUCUUCAUGCUCAUCCACAAGUCGGUCAUCUCCAAUCCGCUGCACGACUCCAGCAACCUCUGACCUCAGUCAGGUAUCAGCUGCAACACCUCCAGUCUGUGUAGCCAUGACAGACUGUUUGAAGGGAGUGAGUCAUGUUCUGUUCUUUGAAUUUGGCAGUAAUGGCUGCUUUUCCUGAUAGUGCUGAGCUGAUGUAGCAUGCAUGUUUAAUGCUUAAAAUGAUUCAUAGUGAUGAAGAGAGUGAAGGGAGGAGAGGAAAUAAAGAGAGACUUUGACUCA
rnacentral:lncRNA from 1 species